rnacentral:rRNA from 1 species
GACGAACGCUGGCGGCGUGCUUAACACAUGCAAGUCGAACGGUAAGGCCCUUCGGGGUACACGAGUGGCGAACGGGUGAGUAACACGUGGGUGAUCUGCCCUGCACUUCGGGAUAAGCCUGGGAAACUGGGUCUAAUACCGGAUAGGACUCCUGGCUUCAUGGUUGGGGGUGGAAAGCUUUUGCGGUGUGGGAUGGGCCCGCGGCCUAUCAGCUUGUUAGUGGGGUAAUGGCCUACCAAGGCGACGACGGGUAGCCGGCCUGAGAGGGUGACCGGUCACACUGGGAAUGAGAUACGGCCCAGACUACGACGGGAGGCAGCAGAGGGGAAUAUUGCACAAUGGGCGCAAGCCUGAUGCAGCGACGCCGCGUGAGGGAUGACGGCCUUCGGGUUGUAAACCUCUUUCAGCUAUGACGAAGCGCAAGUGACGGUAGUAGCAGAAGAAGGACCGGCCAACUACGUGCCAGCCGCCGCCGUAA